rnacentral:rRNA from 1 species
AGUGAACGCUGGCGGUAGGCCUAACACAUGCAAGUCGAACGGCAGCACAGUAAGAGCUUGCUCUUACGGGUGGCGAGUGGCGGACGGGUGAGGAAUACAUCGGAAUCUACUUUUUCGUGGGGGAUAACGUAGGGAAACUUACGCUAAUACCGCAUACGACCUACGGGUGAAAGCAGGGGAUCUUCGGACCUUGCGCGAUUGAAUGAGCCGAUGUCGGAUUAGCUAGUUGGCGGGGUAAAGGCCCACCAAGGCGACGAUCCGUAGCUGGUCUGAGAGGAUGAUCAGCCACACUGGAACUGAGACACGGUCCAGACUCCUACGGUAGGCAGCAGUGGGGUAUAUUGGACAAUGGGCGCAAGCCUGAUCCAGCCAUACCGCGUGGGUGAAGAAGGCCUUCGGGUUGUAAAGCCCUUUUGUUGGGAAAGAAAAGCAGCAGGUUAAUACCCCGCUGUUCUGACGGUACCCAAAGAAUAAGCACCGGCUAACUUCGUG